AGCGGGGUUACUGCGACAGAUCCCUUCGGGGUGACGUUGCUUUAACGUAGCGGCGGACGGGUGAGUAACGCGUGGGUAACCUACCCUAAAGCUCGGGAUAACAGUGGGAAACCGCUGCUAAUACCGGAUGACUUUAACCUAUGGCAUCAUGGGUUAAAGAAAGAUUUAUCGCUUUAGGAUGGGCCCGCGUCCCAUUAGCUAGUUGGUGAGGUAACGGCUCACCAAGGCGACGAUGGGUAGCCGGCCUGAGAGGGUGUACGGCCACACUGGGACUGAGACACGGCCCAGACUCCUACGGGAGGCAGCAGUAGGGAAUAUUGCGCAAUGGACGGAAGUCUGACGCAGCGACGCCGCGUGAGCGAUGAAGGCCUUCGGGUCGUAAAGCUCUGUCCUUGGGGAAGAAGGUCUUCGGACUUGACGGUACCCAAGAAGAAAGCCCCGGCUAACUACGUGCCAGCAGCCGCGGUAAUACGUAGGGGGCGAGCGUUGUCCGGAAUUACUGGGCGUAAAGGGUGCGUAGGCGGCCCUUUAAGUCAGAUGUGAAAGGCCA
rnacentral:rRNA from 1 species